ensembl:lncRNA
AUAGCAGGACUGCCUCAAACUUUGAGCAGCAGGGGCUCCCCAUCCCCGCCCUCUCCCUGACCCCAGGCUGGUGGGAGGAUGGGGCAGUGGGCCAGGCGGGUGGCCAGAGGCAUGAAGAACCUGAACCUCAGCGAGUCCAGACACCCGGGAGGAGAAGGACCCUGGGAAGGAGGACCCCAGGAAGGAGGAGGAGCCCGGGAAGAAGGAGCACCACCAGAACCAGUCCUGGGGCCGGUCCAUGCCAGCUCUGAGAACAAUGCAAGCUUGCUUCCACCCCAAUCCUUGUUCCACUCUCCAAACUAAAAAACCACCUCCUAACCCCUUCCAAAGGGGGCGCAGGCUUUAAGGCAUUAGCCUGCUGAGACCCCCCGUUGCCUGGCAAAGCGAUAAAUCUAUCUUUUCUCCUUUACCCAAAACCAAAACCAACCAACAAAAAAUCAGAAAACUAUCUGUGAGCUGAUCACGUGCCCCACAGCCCCUCCCUCACCCCACCUUUAAAAACCUUUCCCUGAAAGCCUUGGGGGUGGGGGGCUCAGGUCUUUGAGCGCCAGCCGCCUGGACUCCUGGGCUGGCGCCUGCCGUAAACACUGCCCUCUCCUUCCUCACCACCCGGGGUCAGAUGAGCGGCUUUGCUGUGGGCGGCCGGGCAGACCCAGGAUUGGUCUGAUGACAUCCUGAGAACACACACAGGCAGGGACCCUCUCCUGUCCUUGCUCUCGGUGGCGCAGGGCCGGGGGUGGGGGCACCACUGCCCCUCCUUCUGCCCACCCUCCAAGGGGCAGAGCCAGGAGUAGAACCAGAAGCGCUGCGGGCACUUUGGGCGGCGUUUCUGCAGAUCAGGUGACAACAGAACGCAGGCGUGCGGACUCCCCUCGAAGUGGGGCUUGGGCAGCAGGGGGGGCUCCCUGCAGACGGAACCGUCUCAGCCACAUCAACACCGACACCACCCAACACAGAGACGAACGGAAAACUCACGUUGAACAAUUUAAAUUUGAAAUCUUUCCUCACUUAGAAUAUCAGACAACCAAACAAAAACACGAGGACAGGCGUUCCCUUCGUGGCGCAGUGGAGACGAAUCUAAAGUAACCACGAGGAUACAGGUUCGAUCCCUGGCCUCGCUCAGUGGGCUAAGGAUCCAGCAUUGCCGUGAGCCGUGGUGCAGGUCGCAGACGUGGCUCGGAUCCCAUGUUGCUGUGGCUGUGGUGCAGGCUGGCGGCUACAGCUCCGAUUCCACCCCUAGCCUGGGAACCUCCAUAUGCAGCAGGUGUGGCCCUAAAAAGACACCAAACAAAAAAAAACCCCCAGGACAAAUUGGCAGAGGCUGCAAAAGGAAACCCUUUCCUGUGGUCCCGGAUUUGUGCACACCAGCUCUGUGUUCCCGUCCCGAACCUGCCCCACAGACCCUGCAGCCAGUUCAGCUCCUCCAGAGGACACAGUAGGGACGGACCAGGACGGCUCGGAAGUGGCCCCCGUAGCCACUGCCCGGGGCCACACAGGCCCUCAGCAUACAGAGGGGUGUUUAGUGAGAGCGAGCCUGCAAACCUGCCCCAGCAGACGGGCCAAGGCUGCAGCCCCAGAGCAGGCUGGACCCCACCCUGUCCACGCGUCCCCUGCAUCUGCCCUGAAACCCAGCUGACAGACCCCAUCCAGGGUGGGCCUGCGCCAGGGGACGCCCGCCCCUGCUCUCAACACCCAGUGACUCUCUGUAAGGUCGUGGCCUUGCCCGGAGCCUGGGUUUGGCUGGAAGGAGAUGCCAGGCCGGGAGUGACCACCUCUCCAGGGCAAGACAGCAGCCUCGGACCCUGGAGCUAAGGGGAGGCAGGUCUAGCACAUAUGAUAACCAGAGUGGGCAGAGCUGAAGCGACCCCCCCCCCAGUGCCCCCCACGCCCCGUCCUACCUGCCUGUGCUACUGGCCCGGAGGUGCUGCAAUCGAGUGUGACUGAAUUCCGAUGGCUACGAUGCACUCCACCAGCGGAUGCCACGGUGACGUGGGGAUUGGGGCAGUCAUGGGCUGCGGGUUCUGGGUCCAAUAAACAGGCGGGAUGGACACGCAGCCUGGCCCUUAGGAGGGGUCUCAGGGAAGCUGGGGUCUGGGUGGCUGGAGGGCCAGACAGAGCCGUGGGGACCGGCUCCCAUCAACACCUCCAUAGCCAGCCCGCCCAUGGCCUGGCCACAGCCUGAAACGCAGGAGCAGCCUCUGUGUCUUUGUUCACGGCCACACCCGCAGCCUAUGGAAGUUCCCCGCCAGUGAUUACAUCCAAGCGGCAGCUGUGGAAACCCUGGAUCCUUUUUUUGUUUUUUUGUGGGUUUUUUUUUUUUUUUUUUUUUUUUGGCUUUUUAGGGCCGCACCUGAGGCAUAUGGAGGUUCCCAGGUUCCCAGCAAAUCGGAGCUACAGCUGCCACAGCCACGCCGGAUCCUUCACCCACUAAGCGAGGCCAGGGAUCAAACCUGCAGCCUCAUGGUUCAUAAUCGGAUUCGUUAACCACUGUGCCACAAUGAGAACUCCUGGCUUUUCUCUCUUAAUACGCUUUUGUGGUUCCUCGGUGUCUUUUUGUGGCUCUGGAGCUCAUUUCUUUUUGGUGCUGAAUCGUAAUCCACUGUGUGGAUGAUCUGGCUUAUUCAUCCACCCGCCUGCUGGAGGACCUCCUGGUUGGGCUAAGCCCCCUGCCCUUUUAGAGACAAAAUGGGUAGCAUUUAAAUUCCCUGGAAGUUCCCAUUGUGGCUCAGUGGUAAGGACCCAACUAAUAUCUAUGAGGAUGAGGGUUCAAUCCCGGGCCUUGCUCAGUGGGUUAAAGAUCUGGCGUCACCAUGAACUGUGGUGUAGGUCGCAGAUGCAGCUCGGAUCCUGAAUUGCUGUGGUGCAGGCCGGCAGCUGCAGCUGAUUUGAUGCUGGCCUGGGAAAUUCUAUAAGCUGCAGGUGUGGCCCUAAAAACUAAAAAAAUACAUUCCCGGAGUUCCCCUUGUGGUACAGUGAAAAUGAAUCUGGCUAGGAACCAUGAGGUUGCCAGUUCGAUCCCUGGCCUUGCUCAGUAGGUUAAGGAUCUGGCGUGGCCAUGAGCUGUGGUAUAGACUGCAGAUGUGGCUGGGAUCCCACAUGGCUAUGGCUGUGGUGUAGGCCAGCGGCUACAGCUCCGAUUCGACCCCUAGCCUGGGAACUUCUAUAUGCCGCAGGUGCAGCCUUAAAAAGCAAAACAAAACAAAGCAAACAAACAAACAAAAAUCCCAAACGGUGCCCACCCGAGCCCAGGUGGUCUGCCCCCAUCUCCUGGCACAGGCCUGGCAGGGGGCUGUUUAGUAGCGUCCCUGUGGCAAACUGCUGUCUGGAAGCUGUCCUGGGCCCAUCCUACCCUGGCACCUGGCCUGGUAUGGAACCGGGCAGACACCAAGGUCCUAGCUAGUGUCAGAUGGUUCUCCCCAAAGAAUGCUGGUCCCCGAACCCAAGAAAGAUGUCCGUCAGCUGCCUUAAAAAAAGAGCAAAAAACAAGGAGUACCCAUUGUAGCUCAGAGGAAACAAGUCUGACUAGCAUUCAUGAGGAGGUGGGUUCGAUCCCUGGCCUCGCUCAAUGGGCUAAGGAUCCAGCGUUGCCGUGAGCUCUGGUGUAGGUCACAGACGUGGCUCGGAUCCUGCGUUGCUGUCCCUGUGGUGGAGGCCAGCAGCUAUAGCUCUGACUCAACCCCUGGCCUGGGAACCUACAUUGGCCACAGGUGCAGCCCUAAAAAAUACAAAGGAAAAUUAAAAACCCACACAAUCAAUGCACGUUAUAUUUAUAGUCGCACAGACACCAUCACAGCCUAAUUGUACGCCAUGUCCCUCCCAACCCCCACGUCAGCCGUCUUGGCAGCAGAGCCCUGCCACCUCCUCCUGGAAGCCCCACUCCUUGGAGCUCUGGGGUCAUGGUGGGGGUCUCUCCAAAAUUCACAUCCACCCAGAACCCCAGAAUGUGACCUUAUUUGAAAUAUGGUCUCUGCAGAUGGAAUUAAGCGACAGGUCUUGAGAGGACGUCAUUCUGGACAAUGAGGGUGUCCUUACAAAAGACAGAAGGAGAGACACAAAGGAGAAGCCACGUGAAGACGGAGGCAGAGAUGGGAGUGACGUGGCUGAAGUCCAGGGCCACCCGGAGCCCCUGGAGCCGGAAGAGGCAGGAACGACCCUCCUUGGAACCUCAGAGGGGAGCGUGGCCCUGGCCUUGGACUUGUGGCCCCAGACGGGGAGAACGGACUCCUGUUGCUCUAAGUCACCACGUUUGGGGUCACCUGUCCUGGUGGCCCCAGGUCACUGGACAAGCUCCACUCUUGCAGGUUCUCUGUCCCCUUCUCCCUCAUGACCCCCCACCUGGGGCGCCCCUGGUCCCAGGGUAACCCCUGUACCUCCCUGGCCUCUGGUCCCCCGCAGAGACCCUAGCUCCCCCCGGGGGGAGGAAGGGCUGCGACCUCAGAUCAGGGAGAGGGGCGCCUUCCCCACUCCCCCCACCCGAGCCCUGCAGGACAUCACCUUUGUGCUGCCGCGUGCCGGUGGGUGCCUGGGUCUGUGCCUUCCGAGUUCGCUGGAGUCAAUUUCCCACUGGGAGGCGCAGCAUCCACCGACUUUCACCUCAAUUAAAAAACCCAUUUCGC